UGGUCCCUCGGUCCGUGUCCCGCCCGUGCUGCCGCGGCCUGGGAGCCCAGCGGGGCCGGAGGGGCGGCGGGACCCGAGCGGGCGGGGGCGGCCGGACCCAGUGUAUGCGGCCGCGGGACGCGCUGGGGCCGGGCAGCCGGGAAGCGGGGCGCUGACGCCAACCCCGAGAGCUUCGGCCUCUACUUCGUGCUGGGCGUCUGCUUCGGCCUGCUGCUCACCCUCUGCCUGCUCGUCAUCAGCAUCUCGUGGGCGCCCCGCCCGCGGCCCCGGGGCCCGGCUCAGCGCCGGGACCCCCGCAGCAGCACCCUGGAGCCCGAGGACGACGACGAGGACGAGGAGGACACGGUGACUCGGCUGGGCCCCGACGACACGCUGCCGGGCCCCGAGCUGUCCGCAGAGCCGGACGGGCCCCUCAACGUCAACGUCUUCACGUCGGCGGAGGAGCUGGAGCGGGCGCAGCGGCUGGAGGAGCGCGAACGGAUCCUGCGGGAGAUCUGGCGCACCGGGCAGCCGGACCUGCUGGGCACAGGCACGCUGGGGCCCAGCCCCACGGCCACGGGCACCCUGGGCCGCAUGCACUAUUACUGAUGGGCCCCGGCUCC
rnacentral:lncRNA from 10 species